rnacentral:rRNA from 1 species
GACGAACGCUGGCGGCGUGCUUAACACAUGCAAGUCGAACGAAAAGCCCCUUUUGGGGGUCCUGAGUGGGCAACGGGGGGGUUAACAGUUAGUUAACCGCCCCUUACCUCCGGGAAACCUCAAGGAACCUGGGCCAAUACCCGGAAAGAAAUCUUUCUUCAUUGGUGGGGGUGGGAAAGUUUCGGCGGUUUUGGUUGGCCUCGCGGCUUAUCAGCUUGUUGGUGGGGUAGUGGCUUACCAAGGCUUUGACGGGUAGCCGGCCUGAGAGGGCGACCGGCCACAUUGGGACUGAGAUACGGCCCAGACUCCUACGGGAGGCAGCAGUGGGGAAUAUUGCACAAUGGGCGGAAGCCUGAUGCAGCAACGCCGCGUGCGGGAUGACGGCCUUCGGGUUGUAAACCGCUUUCAGCAGGGGCGAAGCUUGUGGUGACGGUACCUGCAGAAGAAGCACCGGCUAACUACGUG